rnacentral:misc_RNA from 1 species
AACCAUAGAAACCUGCGGAGUACCUGCGGAAGGAUCAUUAUAGAAUAAACUUGGUUGGGUUGUUGCUGGCUUCUCGGAGCAUGUGCACGCCUAGCACCAUUUUUUACCACCUGUGCACUUUUUGUAGAUGUUGGAAUAUCUUUCUCGAGGAUAACAACUCGGAUAGAGGUUUGCUGUACAAAAGUCAGCUUUCCUUGAUUAUUCCUAGUCUAUGUUUUUUACAUACUCUAUAUUAAUGUA